AGGAAAGAGCUCAAAGUUGGAACCUGUUUGGCUUAGCUAAACCGGAUUGUAAACUGUAGAAGUGUUUUCCUGACACGCCUGGUAAAAAAGUCCUUUGGAACAGGGCAUCAUAGAGGGUGAGAAUCCCGUCAUUGGCCAGAGCUGUUGUCUUUUGUGAUACAUUUUCAAAGAGUCAGGUUGUUUGGGAAUGCAGCCUAAAUUGGGUGGUAAAUCUCACCUAAAGCUAAAUAUUUGCGAGAGACCGAUAGCGAACAAGUACCGUGAGGGAAAGAUGAAAAGAACUUUGAAAAGAGAGUUAAACAGUAUGUGAAAUUGUUAAAAGGGAACCGUUUGGAGCCAGACUGGCUUAACUGUAAUCAAUCUAGGCUUUGGCCUGGAUGCACUUGCGGUUUAUGCCGGCCAACGACAGUUUUGUUUGGGGGAAAAAAUUACAUUGAAUGUGGCCCUUCGGGGCGUUAUAGCUUUGUAAAAAAUACCCUGGACUGGACUGAGGAACGCAGUGAAUGCCUUUAGGCAAGAUUGCUGGGUGCUUUCGCUAAUAAAUGCUAGAAUUUCUGCUUCGGGUGGUGCUAGUGUUUAAAGGAGGAACUCGCUUAGUAU
rnacentral:rRNA from 1 species